AUUGAACGCUGGCGGCAUGCCUUACACAUGCAAGUCGAACGGUAACAGGUUAAGCUGACGAGUGGCGAACGGGUGAGUAAUGUAUCGGAACGUGCCCAGUCGUGGGGGAUAACUGCUCGAAAGAGCAGCUAAUACCGCAUACGACCUGAGGGUGAAAGCGGGGGAUCGCAAGACCUCGCGCGAUUGGAGCGGCCGAUAUCAGAUUAGGUAGUUGGUGGGGUAAAGGCCUACCAAGCCUACGAUCUGUAGCUGGUCUGAGAGGACGACCAGCCACACUGGGACUGAGACACGGCCCAGACUCCUACGGGAGGCAGCAGUGGGGAAUUUUGGACAAUGGACGCAAGUCUGAUCCAGCCAUGCCGCGUGCGGGAAGAAGGCCUUCGGGUUGUAAACCGCUUUUGUCAGGGAAGAAAAGGUUCUGGCUAAUACCCGGGACUCAUAACGGUACCUGAAGAAUAAGCACCGGCUAACUACGUGCCAGCAGCCGCGGUAACAC
rnacentral:rRNA from 1 species